CUCUUACGCACGGGACCACAAUGCCCCGCGCCGCUUGUCAUUUGGAGGCGCCUGGAGGUGGGGGUCUGCUCUGAAGGAAAAGAAUUCAGCCAGAGGUACAUGAACCACAGAUGUUCAUCACCCCUCCAAGACCAAGUUCAUUUUCAGCAGCCCAGAUGAGACCACCAUAAAUGAAGAUCAGAGGAGAAGCACGUAAAGAAGAAAGAAGUUUCGGUAUCAAGAGAUCUCCAUAAAAACCAUGGAGUUAAUUGAUUUACGUUGCCCCUUCUGGCACCAGUCAGUAGGCCUACUCGGCUCCGUCUAGGUCCACUGGAGCUGCC